rnacentral:rRNA from 1 species
UACGGGGGGGGCAAGCGUUGUUCGGAAUUACUGGGCGUAAAGGGCUCGUAGGUGGCCAACUAAGUCGGACGUGAAAUCCCUCAGCUUAACUGGGGAACUGCGUCCGAUACUGGAUGGCUUGAGUUUGGGAGAGGGAUGCGGAAUUCCAGGUGUAGCGGUGAAAUGCGUAGAUAUCUGGAGGAACACCGGUGGCGAGGGCGGCAUCCUGGACCAACACUGACACUGGGGAGCGAAAGCGUGGGGAGCGAACAGG